AGCCCUGAAGGACACAAAUGGAGAUAAGAUCUCUCCAAAUCCAAUCUUCAAAUUAAUAGAGCUCCGAGAGCUACAAAUGGAGAUAAGAUCUCUCAAAUAUCGAUCUACGAAUCGAUAUUAUCUUUCAUCUCAUAUAAAUACUGACCUUAAGAUCGAAGUUAUUUUAAUAUUCUAUCAAAUACAGAUCUCUAAAUCAAAGUUAUUUUGAAAUUUUAUUGUUGAUCUCCAGAUCAAAGUCAUCUUGAAAUUCUAAUAUCGAUCUCCGAAUCGAAGUUAUUUUGAAAUUCUAUUAAAUAUCAAUCUCC
rnacentral:lncRNA from 1 species